UUAGAGGAAGUAAAAGUCGUAACAAGGUUUCCGUAGGUGAACCUGCGGAAGGAUCAUUAUCGAGUUUGAAGUGGGUCUUUGAGCUGGCUUUUCACGAAGCACCGUGCUCGGGCCCCGCUCCAUCCACUCAACCCCUGUGCACUUUCGAUGRCGUGGUCUCGUUGAGUGAUGUUCCAUUCAUUUGGACAUCGGAGGUCGCGACGUCGUCUYAUCACAAACUUAUUACAAUAGUCUUGUCGAACGUGGAUGCUCGUAAGGGCGGAAACACAAUACAACUUUCAACAACGGAUCUCUUGGCUCUCGCAUCGAUGAAGAACGCAGCGAAAUGCGAUAAGUAAUGUGAAUUGCAGAAUUCAGUGAAUCAUCGAAUCUUUGAACGCACCUUGCGCUCCUUGGUAUUCCGAGGAGCAUGCCUGUUUGAGUGUCAUGAAAUCAUCAACCUUACYGUCUUUGUUGACGGUGUAGGCUUGGACUUGGGGACCGUGCUGGCCUUUCUGAGGUCGGCUUCCCUUGAAUGCAUUAGUCGAGCGCCCUCGCUCCGAGACGUGUGAUAAUUAUCAUUCACUGAUCGACGAGGGCUGUGCUGGGCUUCUAACCGUCGCGUUAGUGACAAUNUUGACAAUCUGACCUCAAAUCAGGUAGGACUACCCGCUGAACUUAAGCAUAUC
rnacentral:rRNA from 1 species